AAAGCCACCCUACUGGGGGGAUGAGAACCACCGACCGGGGUUCGACAACUGGCGCAGCCAGUUGGACAGUUGACGAGCCUGCGAGGAGGCUGCCCGAAGGGCGAGCGCAGCGAGUCAAUCCCCCCCUCACCGCCA
rnacentral:sRNA from 1 species